UAGGAAUCUUGCGCAAUGGGGGCAACCCUGACGCAGCGACACAGUGUGGAGGAGGAAGGUCUUCGGAUUGUAAACUCCUUUUAUGAGGGAAGAAUAGAUGACGGUACCUCAUGAAUAAGCACCUGCUAACUACGUGCCAGAAGCAUCGGUGAUGCGUAGGGUGCAAACGUUAUCCGGAUUUAUUGGGCGUAUAGAGAAGCGUAGGUGUUCUUGUAAGUCUUUAGUUAAAUACCACGGCUCAACCGUGGAGAAGCUUUGGAAACUACAGGAAUUGAGACAGGAAUGGGCGAAUGGAAUUCCCAGUGGAGCGGUGAAAUGCGUUGAUAUUGGGAGGAACAUCAGUGGCGAAGGCGAUUCGCUGGUCCUUGUCUGACACUAAGGCUCGAAAGCGUGGGGAGCGAAAC
rnacentral:rRNA from 1 species